UACGAAGGGGGCUAGCGUUGCUCGGAAUGACUGGGCGUAAAGGGCGCGUAGGCGGCUUGUCCAGUCAGCUGUGAAAUUCCUGGGCUCAACCUGGGGGCUGCAUUUGAUACGUAUGGGCUUGAGUGGGGAAGAGGGUCGUGGAAUUCCCAGUGUAGAGGUGAAAUUCGUAGAUAUUGGGAAGAACACCGGUGGCGAAGGCGGCGACCUGGUCCUUGACUGACGCUGAGGCGCGAAAGCGUGGGGAGCAAACAGG
rnacentral:rRNA from 1 species